rnacentral:rRNA from 1 species
GAGCGCACCUUCGGGUGAGCGGCGGACGGGUGAGUAACGCGUGGGAACGUGCCCUUCUCUGCGGAAUAGCCACUGGAAACGGUGAGUAAUACCGCAUACGCCCUUCGGGGGAAAGAUUUAUCGGAGAAGGAUCGGCCCGCGUUAGAUUAGGUAGUUGGUGGGGUAAUGGCCUACCAAGCCUACGAUCUAUAGCUGGUUUGAGAGGAUGAUCAGCCACACUGGGACUGAGACACGGCCCAGACUCCUACGGGAGGCAGCAGUGGGGAAUCUUAGACAAUGGGCGCAAGCCUGAUCUAGCCAUGCCGCGUGAGUGAUGAAGGCCUUAGGGUCGUAAAGCUCUUUCGCUGGGGAAGAUAAUGACUGUACCCAGUAAAGAAACCCCGGCUAACUCCGUGCCAGCAGCCGCGGUAAUACGGAGGGGGUUAGCGUUGUUCGGAAUUACUGGGCGUAAAGCGCGCGUAGGCGGAUCAGAAAGUUGGGGGUGAAAUCCCGGGGCUCAACCUCGGAACUGCCUCCAAAACUCCUGGUCUUGAGUUCGAGAGAGGUGAGUGGAAUUCCGAGUGUAGAGGUGAAAUUCGUAGAUAUUCGGAGGAACACCAGUGGCGAAGGCGGCUCACUGGCUCGAUACUGACGCUGAGGUGCGAAAGUGUGGGGAGCAAACAGGAUUAGAUACCCUGGUAGUCCACACCGUAAACGAUGAAUGCCAGUCGUCGGCAAGCAUGCUUGUCGGUGACACACCUAACGGAUUAAGCAUUCCGCCUGGGGAGUACGGUCGCAAGAUUAAAACUCAAAGGAAUUGA